rnacentral:rRNA from 1 species
UACAGAGGUGGCAAGCGUUGUUCGGAAUUACUGGGCGUAAAGGGCGCGUAGGCGGUUCGUUAAGUCCUGUGUGAAAUCCCCCCGGCUCAACUGGGGGAACUGCACAGGAAACUAGCGGGCUUGAGUUCGGGAGAGGGAAGCGGAAUUCCGGGUGUAGCGGUGAAAUGCGUAGAUAUCCGGAGGAACACCGGUGGCGAAGGCGGAUCUCUGGGCCGAGU